rnacentral:rRNA from 1 species
UCGGGAAUUUUGGGCAAUGGGCGAAAGCCUGACCCAGCAACGCCGCGUGAGGGAUGAAGUAUUUCGGUAUGUAAACCUCGAAAGACUGGGAAGAAUAAAUGACGGUACCAUUUAUAAGCUCCGGCUAACUACGUGCCAGCAGCCGCGGUAAUACGUAGGGAGCAAGCGUUGUUCGGAUUUACUGGGCGUAAAGGGCGCGUAGGCGGCGCGGUAAGUCACUUGUGAAAUCUCUGAGCUUAACUCAGAACGGCCAAGUGAUACUGCUGUGCUAGAGUGCGGAAGAGGCAACCGGAAUUCUUGGUGUAGCGGUGAAAUGCGUAGAUAUCAAGGGAAACACCUGAGGCGAAGGCGGGUUGCUGGGCCGACACUGACGCUGAUGCGCGAAAGCCAGGGGAGCAAACG